GGACCGUAGCAAGACGAACUACAGCGAAAGCAUUUGCCAAGAAUGUCUUCAUUAAUCAAGAACGAAAGUCAGAGGUUCGAAGGCGAUCAGAUACCGCCCUAGUUCUGACCGUAAACGAUGCCAACUAGCGAUCCGCCGGUGGAAUUUUUGCCCUGGUGGGGAGCUUCCCGGAAACGAAAGUCUUCCGGUUCCGGGGGAAGUAUGGUUGCAAAGCUGAAACUUAAAGGAAUUGACGGAAGGGCACCACCAGGUAGUGGAGCCUGCGGCUUAAUUUGACUCAACACGGGGAAACUCACCCGGCCCGGACACCGUGAGGAUUGACAGAUUGAUAGCUUUUUCAUGAUUCGGUGGAUGGUGGUGCAUGGCCGUUCUUAGUUCGUGGAGCGAUUUGUCUGGUUUAUUCCGAUAACGAGCGAGACUCUAGCCUACUAACUAGUCAGCACAUUGCCUUUGUGUGCGCGGCUUCUUAGAGGGAUUUUCGGUGUACAGCCGCACGAAAUUGAGCAAUAACAGGUCUGUGAUGCCCUUAGAUGUCCGGGGCUGCACGCGCGCUACACUGGCAAAAUCAGCGUGCUUGUCCUUCCCCGAAAGGGGUUGGUAAACCCUUGAGAAUUUGCCGUGAUUGGGAUCGGAAAUUGCAAUUAUUUUCCGUGAACGAGGAAUUCCAAGUAAGUGCGAGUCAUCAACUCGCGUUGAUUACGUCCCUGCCCUUUGUACACACCGCCCGUCGCCGCCCGGGACUGAGCCAUUUCGAGAAACUCGGGGACCGCUGAUUUGGUGGCUUUCGGGUCGCCAUUUCGGUGGAAACCGAUUUAAUCGCAGUGGCUUGAACCGGGC
rnacentral:rRNA from 1 species